rnacentral:rRNA from 1 species
CCUACGGGAGGCUGCAGUGGGGAAUAUUGGACAAUGGGCGAAAGCCUGAUCCAGCCAUGCCGCGUGUGGGAAGAAGGCCUUCGGGUUGUAAAGCACUUUCAGUGGGGAAGAAAGCCUUGGGGCUAAUACCCUCGAGGAAGGACAUCACCCACAGAAGAAGCACCGGCUAACUCCGUGCCAGCAGCCGCGGUAAUACGGAGGGUGCGAGCGUUAAUCGGAAUUACUGGGCGUAAAGCGCGCGUAGGCGGUCUGAUAAGCCGGUUGUGAAAGCCCCGGGCUCAACCUGGGAACGGCAUCCGGAACUGUCAGGCUAGAGUGCAGGAGAGGAAGGUAGAAUUCCCGGUGUAGCGGUGAAAUGCGUAGAGAUCGGGAGGAAUACCAGUGGCGAAGGCGGCCUUCUGGACUGACACUGACGCUGAGGUGCGAAAGCGUGGGUAGCAAACAGGAUUAGAUACCCCAGUAGUC